UGAGGAAUUUUGCGCAAUGGGGGGAACCCUGACGCAGCAACGCCGCGUGGGUGAUGAAGGCCUUCGGGUCGUAAAGCCCUGUCGGGCGGGAAGAACGUCCCUUCGGGGAAUGACGGUACCGCCAGAGGAAGCACCGGCUAACUCCGUGCCAGCAGCCGCGGUAAUCCGGAGGGUUCAAGCGUUAUUCGGAAUUACUGGGCGUAAAGGGCGUGCAGGCGGGAGAGCAAGUCUGAUGUGAAAGCCCGGGGCUUAACCCCGGAAGGGCGUUGGAAACUGGUUUUCUUGAGUGCGGGAGGGGAAGGGAGAAUUCCCGGUGUAGAGGUGAAAUUCGUAGAGAUCGGGAGGAACAUCAGUGGCGAAGGCGCCCUUCUGGACAGCAACUGACGCUGAGACGCGAAAGCGUGGGGAGCAAACA
rnacentral:rRNA from 1 species